ACGCGUUAUCGACACGGCAGUGACAUCAUUGGCAUAUGCAAAAAAUUUAAAAGGGCCGCCUACACUGGGGAAUCUUGGGAAAGAUUGACUUUGGUUAUUUGAAAGUCAAGCUGCACUUCUACAGGCUGCAAUGGAUGCCAGCAGCUCCGCCCAUGGAGCCGCCGCUGCCGCCUCUUCGUCUUCCUCGCGGAGCUCAAACAGGUGGAAGUACGAGGUGUUCCUGAGCUUUAGAGGUGAAGACACCCGCAACACCUUCACAGACCAUCUCUUCAUUGCAUUACACAAUGCCGGAAUUAACACGUUUAUAGACAAACAUCUCAGAAGGGGGGAAAACAUACAGAGUGAACUUGACCAAGAAAUCGAAGGGUCGAGAAUCGCCGUCAUCGUCUUCUCAAAGAGGUACGCCGAGUCCCGAUGGUGCCUGAGGGAGCUGUCGAAGAUCAUGAGGUGCCUAAAAAAUCAAGAGGGGAAAAUAGUCUGUCCAAUAUUCUACGACGUUGACCCUUCUCAAGUCAGGAAACAGAAAGAUAGUUUUGGGGAAGCAUUUCAGAAGCAUGAAGAGGAUGAAGAUCCAAAUGAGGUCAAGCAGCGGAGAGAGGAUCUUAAGGCUUCUGCAGAUUUGGCCGGCUGGAACCUCAAAACCACGGCCGACGGAAGUCGAUGGUGUCACUACACUAAAAUGUGAAUAACACGCGGGUGCAAUUCUCAUAAUUUAAUGGGCUCUGAUGGAGUGAUGGGUCAUAAGACUCAUGUCCAAUUUGGUUACUUGCAGUGUUUGAGACCAUAAGUUCUAUUGAGCCCAUGUCUAACCCAAUCGAAGAUGUCAAAAAUGAGGAAAUUGGAACUGAAAGACUACCGCAAGCUCAAAGAUAUUCCAAACUUGGAGAACUCAUUGGACUACAUGAAUUCAAUUCAUAUGGAAGGGUGUACCAGUCUCACUGAUACAUUUAAGGAGAACCUCCAAACGGUAUGGUACUCUCUCUCGCUCUGCUUUUUUGUAUUGUUGCUUAUAUUAACUUUGCACCCCAUGGUGUAGAAAAAUGCAUUUGGUGGAAUUUUUCUCUUUGGAAAUGAUAUUCCUAACCGGUUAGCCUAUGUUGCGAUAGAGGAUGACACUGUCAAAUUUGAAGUGCCGCCAAGUAUUGGUUAUAUAGGAGGGUUGGCUUUGGGCAUCGUUUAUUCUUCGGACAACUCCGACAAUACUGGGUUUCUAUCCAUUGAUGUUGUUAAUUGUACUCACAUCUAGCCAAUGGAGGACGCCGUCAUUGCUUCCCAUGAAUAUUAUCUUUGGUUGGGAAAUCUUUCAAACAAGAAGCUCAGUCUGAAAGGCGACGACACGAUUCUUGUAACAGUAGAAUUUUAUGGACAAGAUAAUAGAAUUAAGGUGAACAAAACAGAAGUGGAUAUUGUAAAAUGGGAUUUGUCUGAUGGUGGUACUAAUUGGGACGACUAUGAGACUAUGUCAUAUGAGUCUGAUGAAGAUAGUACUAUGUCAUAUGAGUCUGAUGAAGACACUGAUGACGAUAGACAAUCGAGCAAUCGCCACAUUUUCCUUUGCUACAAGACCCCCAAGGCUUGGCCGUGGUGCAUCAAAGGCUCUGAGUCCGAUCCACUCCCUAAGUUCAUCACAUCCGCUCUCAAAGCUCGCAAGAACGACAUCAAUGUUAAGAUGUUGCUGACAGUAAUUGAAGGACGCGAAGGAACUAAGUUUUCCGACGGCGAUGUGUUGAUUUUCCCACAAAUGAUCAAAUACAGGGGCUUGAAAGAGUUGGAUAUGGACAGCUUUGUUGAUGAUGUCCUUGUGAAUGACAAACCAUGGGCUUCUGGAGUGCAAGAGCCGUGGACUGGGCCCCAUGUAUUUAUAUGCGCACAUAUGAGUCGAGAUGAAUGGUAUCGUGUUUGGGCACGUGAUCUCAUUGAUAAGUUCAAAGAGGAGGCUGGGUUGCGAGGAUUGACGAAUCAGGUAUUUGUUACUGCUUGCUCUCACAUUGGAGGCCACAAGUAUGUUGGAAACUUGAUUACCUACAGCCCAUGUUUAAGAGAGAUUUCUUAGUGUGACUGAAACACAAAGCGGUACAAGUGUUACAGUAAUGAAAGCAUAACAGGCUAUUGGUAUGGCUGCUUUUUUCCUGGUUAUGUGCCGAAAUUGCUUGAUGAGCAUAUUGGGAAGGGAGAGAUUAUAGAAAACAUUGGAGGUGCCAAAUGGGAGCAUCUUCUGAUGAAGCUGAUGUAGGAAUGUGAGUAUGUUUUCACACGGUUAAGUUACUGUGGAUUAACAUAAAGAAGUCUCAAUAUGUUUAUGAGAGUGAAUUCUAUUUGGUUUUGGAUUAGAGCUCUGCUUUGGGACAUGAGUUUAGUACUCAUGAUUAUACAAGGAUUUAGUUUCAUAUUCCUUGUAGGAUUGUUAUACGUAGUUCAGGAACUUGUAGUAUAAAAUCACAAUCCCUGCUCUCACAAAGGUAUCGCUCAUAUUGUUCCAAUAGCCUAUAAAUUGGAGAGCAUUGUGCUUUGCAGAGAGAAGAAGGUUGUGUGCAGAUUACAUAUGGCCUCUACAUCCACAAACAUGUCUGCAGCUGAAGAAAUUAAUGACCGGAAGCUUCUAAAUGGAGAAGAAAAUAAGAAAAUCGAGGAGAAGCCACAAGAUAAUGGCAAUCAGAUUCACCAAGAAAAUGGCAAUUAGAUUGAGAAUAAUGAGAACAUUUCAGGUUGUUGCCAAGAUGCUAAUAAUGAUGGAUUUACAUGCUGCAAAGAAGUAAGUUUGGAGGAGAACGGUUGAAGUGAGGAAAAGAAGCCGAAAGAAACCACAGAGGUGUGUGCCAGGAUGGAUGCCUUAGGGAAGCUGUCAAGCUUGAUCAGGAACUGGGAGCAAAACGAUGUUCUUGCAGCUGCUGCCGUGGUUGGAGCAGUGGACAACAGUGGCUGUGGCCUAUAGCUUUUAUAGAAGGCAGGUUGAAACGCACUCUAAUCCUCCGAACCAUGCUCUUAUAUGAAAGGAGAAAUCUAAUAAAUUGUUGAAUGGUUU